rnacentral:rRNA from 1 species
GACGAACGCUGGCGGCGUGCCUAAUACAUGCAAGUUGAGCGCUGAAGGUUGGUACUUGUACCAACUGGAUGAGCAGCGAACGGGUGAGUAACGCGUGGGGAAUCUGCCUUUGAGCGGGGGACAACAUUUGGAAACGAAUGCUAAUACCGCAUAAAAACUUUAAACACAAGUUUUAAGUUUGAAAGAUGCAAUUGCAUCACUCAAAGAUGAUCCCGCGUUGUAUUAGCUAGUUGGGGAGGUAAAGGCUCACCAAGGCGAUGAUACAUAGCCGACCUGAGAGGGUGGUCGGCGACAUUGGGAGUGAGACACGGCACAAACUCCUACGGGAGGAAGCAGUAGGGAAUCUUAGGCAAUGGACGAGAGUGUGACCGAGGAAAGCCGCGUGAGUGAAGAAGGUUUUAGGAUCGGAACACUCUGUUGGUAGAGAAGAACGUUGGUGAGAGUGGAAAGCACAUCAAGUGACGGUAACUACCCAGAAAGGGACGGCUAACUACGUG